AUACGGAGGAUCCGAGCGUUAUCCGGAUUUAUUGGGUUUAAAGGGUGCGCAGGCGGCCAUUUAAGUCAGCGGUUAAAUCGUGGGGCUCAACCCCAUUCUGCCGUUAUACUGGGUGGCUUGAUUGCGGUCGAGGUUGGCGGAAUUCGUUGUGUAGCGGUGAAAUGCAUAGAUAUGACGAAGAACACCGAUUGCGUAGGCAGCUGACCAGACCGCAAAUGACGCUCAUGCACGAAAGUGCGGCGAUCGAACAGGACUAGAUGCCCUGGUAAUCCUGACAGUAAACGAUGAAUACUUGUGUUCGGAUGUAUAAUGACGGAGGCAUAGCGAAAGCGAUGAUGAUUCCCCCUGGGAAGUAAGCCGGCAACGGUGAUACUGAAAGUAAUUGACGGGG
rnacentral:rRNA from 1 species